rnacentral:tRNA from 1 species
AAGGGUAUAGCUCAAGUGGUAGAGCACAUGCUUAGCAUGCACAGGGUCCUGGGUUCAAUCCCUAGUACCUCCU